CCUACGGGUGGCAGCAGUGGGGAAUAUUGCACAAUGGGGGAAACCCUGAUGCAGCGACGCCGCGUGAGUGAAGAAGUAUUUCGGUAUGUAAAGCGCUAUCAGCAGGGAAGAGAAUGACUGUACCUGACUAAGAAGCCCCGGCUAAAUACGUGCCAGCAGCCGCGGUAAUACUUAGGGGGAAAGCCUUCGCCGGAUUUACUGGCGGUAAAGGGAGCGUGGACGGCUGUACAAGUCUGAAGUGAAAGCCCGUGGCUCAACCGCGGGACUGCUUUGGAAACUGUACAGCUGGAGUAAUGGAGAGGCAGGCGGAAUUCCUAGUGAAGCGGUGAAAUGCGUAGAUAUUAGGAGGAACACCAGUGGCGAAGGCGGCCUGCUGGACAGAAACUGACGUUGAGGAUCGAAAGCGUGGGGAGCAAACAGGAUUAGAUACCCGUGUAGUC
rnacentral:rRNA from 1 species